rnacentral:tRNA from 1 species
GCGGCUGUAGUAUAAUGGUUAGUAUUCCGCCUUGCCAAGGCGGUAGUUCGGGUUCGAAUCCCGGCAGCCGCA